AUCCUACAUUAACAAUUCUGCUCCUUCUUAGUGUUUCUAAAAUUUUCACUUAAAAUUUCAAAUUUCCCUACAUUAAAUUUUGGACUCUUAAGAGUUGCUGUUUAGCAUAUUUUAGUUUUGAAUUUUAACAUUAAUAAUCCUUUCUUGAUUUUCAAAUUACUCAAUUUAUUUGCAGAGAAGGAAGAAAUUAAGACAUGAAUAAAUUACAAAUGUCAGCCAUCCUUAUUGUUGUGAUCCUCUUUGCUAUUGGAAAUGAGAUAAUGGCCCAAGAUGGUGAAGGAAAGCUAUGCGCGAUUCCCUUUGACCUUCCAAAUUGUACAGAUGGGGUGUGCAAGACGGCAUGUGCCAAUAAAUUUCCACCCAAUGGGUAUGGAAUGUGUCAAGGUGGCUCCACGUGUCUUUGCUUUCAUCCUUGCUUAUAGAUUUUGUUCCAUCAAUAGCUUAUUCAUAUGCUUGAUUUGAUUUUGGUAGAAUUUAAAUAAAAGAAUUUUAAUUUUUUUAUUAUAAAAAUAUGCAAAUGUCCAUAUUAUACUAUAAAUAAACUUUUUAAAUCAAGCGCUAUUGAGUUUUGGACAAA